UGAGAUGAUUACAUUCCAAAGCUUACCAGGG
rnacentral:piRNA from 1 species